UGGAGCUGGAGCUGCAGGAACUGGGAGAAAGGCAGCAGCACGGCAGGACUGGCUCUGCCAGAGCUGUGGGCCAGGCAGCUCUCACUCUCCAGGGUCCCAGCCCAGGCUGGAGCAGUGAUCGGCGGGAGUCUCCAGCAGGACAGGCUAAGGGGGCUGUGCCCUGGCCCUGGGAAAGAAGCCCAAACACCACAGCAAGAAGGCGAGGGACAGGGGCUCCCAGCCGGGCCAGGUGGUUCCUCAAGUCGGGGGUGAGUAUAGCUGGAGACGAUGGAGCAGGAAGCACCCGCCUAUCAGCAAAGGAGACAUUUGCUUUGGAUAGGAGUAGCAGAGCAAACCGCAAAGGCUGGAAGGAAAUACAGGAACAUAAACAGCACCUGAUGACAUACAUCCCUGGGUUGAUUAAACCUCAGUCUGGCAAAGGGUCAAGGAACAGGAGAGCUCCUUGUCCACCAUCUCUGCGCCCUGCCUAACACCUGCAUCUUACCCCAUUUGCGUGACCUACAGGACAAGUGGCAGAGGAGGAGUUGGUCCCCUCCUCGGCCCAAGAUCACCUAAUUGCCUUUCCCACUGUCUUUGGGAAGUUCCAAGAUGUCAGCUCAGACAGAAUCCUCUCCCCACAGGCAGGUGCCUCAGACUGAGGAUUCAGACUGACCUGGCCUUUGCAAUUGACCCUGUGCUGCUGGCUCAGGGGACACGGCCCAUUGGCUGCAGGUUGAAACUAGAGCUUGUACCUUCAAGCUGCUCUUCAGCAACUCUGGAUUACGCCAGUCGAGCCCUCUCCCCCACUUGCUGGGUAAGCAACCUAGGUCUGUGCAGUCACAGUCCCUAUGCUCCUCUCCAGAGCUUUGGCCACUGGCCUGUCCUAACAGCGGAACUGUCCAGAAUUACCAGAGCAAUUAGCCUCUAGCCCUAAUGCUCCUUCUAUGGGCUGUGAGCAGAUAACCAGAGCAAUUCAUUCCAGUUCUCCCCCAACGUCACUGCCCUGGCUCCCCUUGGGGUUGCUAUCACUACUGCCAUGCUGGAAUCUACCUGGCACAGAGCAGCUGUAAAAGGGGUGCACACAAUGUGUAUUGAUUUAUUGCAGGGUGAUGUCGGACCAGGAGUGGCAGCAACGGACUUCAACUGUGACAGAAGAUCCAGGAGGCAGUUUCACUUGGCAAUUCCUCAUUUACAAUUGCACCUUGAGAGCUUUCAGUUAACCAGCCUUUGACCCAUUUUUCUGAUUCAGUUUUUCCCAGCUGGGUUGGCUCAAUUGUUUUCAGCUUUGUGAAAUUGGCCCUUUAAAGCACCGUGUGUGUGUGUGUAUAUCAAAUUACCUUUCUGUGCAAACAAAUUUAUAUAUAUUUGUUUGCACAUAAAGGUAAUUUGAUAGUUGUACAUUAGGUUUCUGGCACCUUCCUCUGAAGCAGCUGGUACUGGCCAGCCGCAGUAAGAGAACACUGGGCCAAUAACUGAUCUGGGAUGAAAAUUGAUACUUCCCUAUUUAGGUGUUACAAUGCCCAGGUUCUGCGAGGUGACAGGUUUCUAAUCUGGGUUUUGUGAGCACUUCUAACAGCUUUUUACAUGACUGCACCUCAUAUUGGGGGGGGGGGAAGGAGACCACAUUUUCAUGUUUAAAUAUGUAAUUUUCAGAGAGUUACAGUUCUAAAUUAACCACGAGUACUGCUGUUGAGCAGAACUAUCACCACACCCCUCUGAUUCAAGUACCAAGGAGUAGUGACCUCAGUGAGACAAUAGUUCAGCUUUGACACCAGCGAAAUGGAAUUACCAAUUCAUUCUCUGCCAAUUUACGGAGCUGUUUGUUUUAUUGAUGGCAAACUGGAUUGGUGACUGUGGGGGCCAAUUAUAGCUUCAGUCUCUCGCUACCAAGCAAGCUCAUUUUUGGAGCACGCUGGUGGGUGGUUUCCACGUUCCCCAGUCAUAAGCAUCUCUCACCAGACUGUAUCAUAAUACUCUGAGUACCCUUUAAAGCUACUGAGCUUUUUACUACUCCUAGCAAGUCAAAGAGAAAAACGUUUCAGCCUGAAAAGGAAGCCUUGGGACUCUUACACUCCUCCAGUCUGCAGCUCUAAUAACCUCGUCACACCAAUAAAACCCAGGAGACAAGAACUGGACUGGUGAUAUGAUACUGCAGACGCUAAAAAGAUGGUGCAGCUAGAAACUAGCUGACAGGUGACGAUGGGUGCAGGAGACACUCCCUCUGGAUGCAUACACUGAUAUUCUAACAUCAUUGCUCUGAGUUUAAGUGUUACAGUGGAGCUGCCCUCCCAGUGCCAUGUGAUCCAGAAUGCGCAAGAACCAUAUUUCAAGAAAAAGCAGAGUGCAUGCGGUGCAUGCAGUUCGCUACAACAGUACCUGCCAGUGACACUCCCACCCUAAAGCAAGACAACCUGCCCCAGUUCUUGAGAAUUUCAUUUGCUUAAGAAACUAAGUCUUUACAAGAGAGAAGGCUGCUUUGUGUGAAAGACAGUGAACAAUUCCCAGUGGGCAAAUCCAUCAUCAUUUAGGCAAAGGCGUGUUUUAACUGAUCACCAUUAAGGAAAAGUGUAGCACCUAGUGCCUGAUUACUGUAUCUAAUCUGUACUGUACAAUCCAUGGGAUAAAUAAUCCCUCACUAGAUGUGUUACUAUAGUAACAUCUGAAAUAAUACAGGCAGCAGUGAGUGCAUGGAGGCGGCUUGUUGUAUUCCUCAGAGCAGGUCUCGUUUCUACACUAUAGAAUGAAAUAACGCUGUCAGUUUUCCGCUCUCUCUAAGUACAGCCCUUCACACCCAGCUAACCAUGUGGCCUAGGAACGUCUUGUUCUGUGCUUUAAUUAAAUCUGGAGUUAAGUGCAGUCAGUGCAAACAUAUGAACAAUGCAGACAACCCCAAGUGCCUCAGCUCAGAAUUCCCUCCCCCCACCUCUGCGUCACUUUGGUUGAUUCUAGUUUCUCUCUUGCAGCUCAGUCAGCAGUUUUUAAAUCCUCCAUUUCCAACAGCAGCAUCGAUUGCACUAUGAUUCUACCCUGUUGCUGGACACCGCAGUUGCUACUUUUGGCUUCCCCUCUCCACUUGGAAGGCAAAGGUCUGGUGCAAGGGCAGGCCCCGUACUCAGCAUGAGAAACAAACUGAAGUUACACCUAUGCUUAUUUUAUUGUAUUUUUAUUUGCAUGAGGAGUUGAAACAAACUUUAGGGGUUUACUAAACAGGAACUGUUCAAGUCAAACAAACUAUAGUUAGCAGGUGAUGGGGAGGGGAAGGGGGGGGCGCACAGCAAUCCUGGGGAAGGCAGAGAUGGAGGGGGGAAGAGGCUGAUGUCUUUUUACAACAUGUGCACACACUAAACCUGUGCAUGAACGGGCCUCUCCUCCCUACAGGCUCACCAACCACAGAGCUAUUUGCUAAAUCUCUUCAGAACAUUGUAAAUGUAAAGCUGAAGGUAAAUGAAACCACAACUUUCCUUAGCCAGCACAGGAGGGAUUUGCUUUUUUUGUUUUAGAAAAAGAUUAAUAAAAAUAUUGAAAAAAUUCUUCUCCUUUUAUAUAUUUUAACCUAGAAUUCAGCAGUUUCUUAGAAAACUAUGUUACCCUGGAAAGAACAUUCAAGUUCACAACCAGCUGCAAAGAAGAUACACACAAUGCCUACAAGCAGCUUGGGAUUCCAGCACACAAGGACCAGGUCUAGCGGCAUACACACUAAAAUGGGUGAAGAGCAGGGUGCAUUUUUGCCAUGCUAACUAUAACUUUCAGCAAAAAAGAAAAAAAUAUGGUGGUUUUAAAAAGGCUCUAAA